GAUGAACGCUGGCGGCGUGCCUAACACAUGCAAGUCGAGCGGACAGACGACGAUAUUGCCUCUCUGACGUUAGCGGCGGGCGGGUGAGUCACACGUGGAUAACACACCUAUACGACUGGGAUCACUUAGGGAAACCGCAGCUAAUACCGGCUACUAUAUUGACAUGAAUGGAUCCUUAGUCAUAGCCGGUUUUGCUGACACUAAUACAUGGAUACGCGCCGCAUUAGCUAGGUGGUAAGGUAACGGCUUACCACGGCGAAGAUGCGUAGCCGACCUGAGAGGGUGAUCGGCCACACUGGAACUGAGACACGGUCCAGACUCCUACGGGAGGCAGCAGUAGGGAAUCUUCCGCAAUGGGCGAAAGCCUGACGGAGCAACGCCGCGUGAAUGAUGAAGGUCUUCGGAUCGGAAAGCUCUGUUAUUUGGGAGGAAGAAAAGUGUAAGUAACUAUGCACGUCUUGACGGUACCUAAACAAAAAGCCACGGCUAACUACGUG
rnacentral:rRNA from 1 species